rnacentral:rRNA from 1 species
GAACGAAGCCUUCGGGCUUACUGGCGCACGGGGUGCGUAACACGUGGGAAUCUGCCCUUAGGUACGGAAUAACAGUUAGAAAUGACUGCUAAUACCGUAUGAUGCCGCAAGGCCAAAGAUUUAUCGCCUAGGGAUGAGCCCGCGUCGGAUUAGCUAGUUGGUGGGGUAAAGGCCUACCAAGGCGACGAUCCGUAGCUGGUCUGAGAGGAUGAUCAGCCACACUGGGACUGAGACACGGCCCAGACUCCUACGGGAGGCAGCAGUGGGGAAUAUUGGACAAUGGGCGAAAGCCUGAUCCAGCAAUGCCGCGUGAGUGAAGAAGGCCUUCGGGUUGUAAAGCUCUUUUACCCGGGAAGAUAAUGACUGUACCGGCGAGAAUAAGCCCCGGCGUAACUCCGUG